ACCUUAGUCAUCAAAAUACCAGAGACAGCAACGGAUUUUCUUAAAUCUUAAUUAUGUUGCCGAGGCAUUAUUGAUAUAUAGAACAACUAUAUGUUUUUAUAUUAUUAA
rfam:Glossina fuscipes fuscipes unplaced genomic scaffold Scaffold689, whole genome shotgun sequence.